UUUGAUAUAAAGAAGCGCAAGUACUCAAUUGAAUGCAAGUACUAUCAAUUAUAUGAAUGACCGAUUGAACCCAAUCGCAAAACUGGAUAUGGACGGGUUGGUAUGGGUUUUUACAGUGCGAUUAGUCAGUACUAUACCCAUUUUAGUCCUGCAUCAAACAAUGAUGUAGAAAUUCUUUGAAAGCAAUGUUUUGAUUUCCAAGUUACAAAGUUAUCUAGCCAAAGAAAGAAUAUUUUAAGUUCCGGUUUUUUCAGCAGCUUUUUCUCACUUUUAUAAUGGUCACAAUGAUCGAAAUUAAAAAUUUGAAAGAAUAAAAUUGGCGGCUCAAUUGAAAUCUUUUUCUUUAUGCAAAAGUUAUACAAUGUUGGAUGCUGCUCAUGGCAUGCAGGCAUCCUUCAUGCAGAAAGUUACUUGAGUAAUCCAUCGAAUAAUUAUCGUUGGCAAAUCUUGGGUUAACAAGAAACAAAAAAAUCCUGCACAUAAAC